GCUACCAUGCAGUCGACGGACCCUUCGGUGGUUAGUGGCGCACGGGUGAGUAACACGUGGUUGACCUACCCCAAAGUAAGGGAUAACGGUCCGAAAGGACUGCUAAUACCUUAUAAGCUCCCGGUGUUUAGAAAACUGGGAGAAAAGUUCCGGCGCUUUGGGCGGGGACUGCGGACCAUCAGCUAGUUGGUGUGGUAACGGCACACCAAGGCGACGACGGAUAGGGGACCUGAGAGGGUGGCCCCCCACACUGGAACUGAGACACGGUCCAGACUCCUACGGGAGGCAGCAGUGAGGAAUAUUGCACAAUGGGCGCAAGCCUGAUGCAGCGACGCCGCGUGGGUGAUGAAGGUUUUCGGAUCGUAAAGCCCUUUUCUAGAUGACGAGUAAGGACGGUAGUCUAGGAAUAAGUGUCGGCUAACUACGUGCCAGCAGCCGCGGUAAAACGUAGGACACAAGCGUUAUCCGGAGUUACUGGGCGUAAAGGGCGUGUAGGCGGACCUGUAAGUCUAUUCUGAAAGCUCCUGGCUAACUGGGAAGAGGCGAAUGGAGACUGCANAUCUAGAUUGAGGAAGAGGAAAGUGGAUUUCCNCGUGU
rnacentral:rRNA from 1 species